AGUGAACGCUGGCGGUAGGCCUAACACAUGCAAGUCGAACGGCAGCACAGUAAGAGCUUGCUCUUACGGGUGGCGAGUGGCGGACGGGUGAGGAAUACAUCGGAAUCUACUUUUUCGUGGGGGAUAACGUAGGGAAACUUACGCUAAUACCGCAUACGACCUACGGGUGAAAGCAGGGGAUCUUCGGACCUUGCGCGAUUGAAUGAGCCGAUGUCGGAUUAGCUAGUUGGCGGGGUAAAGGCCCACCAAGGCGACGAUCCGUAGCUGGUCUGAGAGGAUGAUCAGCCACACUGGAACUGAGACACGGUCCAGACUCCUACGGGAGGCAGCAGUGGGGAAUAUUGGACAAUGGGCGCAAGCCUGAUCCAGCCAUCCCGGGGGGGGGAAGAAGGCCUUCGGGUUGUAAAGCCCUUUUGUUGGGAAAAAAAAGCAGCAGGUUAAUACCCCGCUGUUCUGACGGUACCAAAAGAAUAAGCACCGGCUAACUUCGU
rnacentral:rRNA from 1 species